CCGUUCAGGGGUAAACCUGAGAAACCCAAAAGAUCGAAUGGGGAGAUUCAUCGUCAGCGGCGUUGGCUUACGUGCGGUUCGCGAUGACCGGGACUUCGGUCUCGUGUCACGCGUCUGCUGCGGCAUGUCCAAUGUCGUCGACGUGCACUUCUCCCCUAGUAGGACGUCGCGACCCGUUGGGUGCCGGCCUACGGUGUAGUUCGUCGACUGACGCGUCGCGUUCACGCGCGCACGCGUCAGACACUGCUUACCCGGCCGACUGCCCGGCGGUAUAGAUCGCUUUAAAACGGUAGUGAGUCGCAUUAAGUGCGUCCGGCUCGUCGGCAGGCUCGUCUCGCUCGGAUUUACGGACCCAGUUCCGUUGCCGGGUGCUUGGCGCGGCCGUUGGCCAACGAAGUUCUCGGACUGGCUCUCACAUUCGAACGGAUAUACCGGUCGGCGACGCUACUGCUUUGGGUACUUUCAGGACCCGUCUUGAAACACGGACCAAGGAGUCUAACAUGUGCGCGAGUCAUUGGGACUUGUUAAGCCUAAAGGCGCAAUGAAAGUGAAGGUCGACCCUAGCGUCGACCGAGGGAGGAUGGCUCGCGUCACGAUGCGAGUCCGCACUCCCGGGGCGUCUCGUGCUCAUUGCGAGCAGAGGCGCACCCAGAGCGUACACGUUGGGACCCGAA
rnacentral:rRNA from 1 species